rnacentral:rRNA from 1 species
CGAAGGGGGCUAGCGUUGUUCGGAAUUACUGGGCGUAAAGGGUGCGUAGGUUGUUUAACAAGCUAGUGGUGAAAGCCCGGGGCUUAACCCCGGAAUUGCCAUUAGAACUGUUAGGCUAGAGAGUGUUAGAGGUUAGUGGAAUUUCUAGUGUAGGAGUGAAAUCCGUAGAUAUUAGAAGGAACAUCAAUGGCGAAGGCAGCUAACUGGGUCACAUCUGACACUGAGGCACGAAAGCGUGGGUAGCAAACAGGAUUAGAUACCCUGGUAGUCCACGCCCUAAACGAUGGAUGCUAAAUGUCGGGGCUUCGGCUUCGGCGUUGUAGUUAACGCGUUAAGCAUCCCGCCUGGGGAGUACGGUCGCAAGAUUA